rnacentral:lncRNA from 1 species
UUAAUCACAUGCACAAUCUAUUUAUCAAUCAGCAGGCUUCUUUGGAUAUAUGCCUCAAGGAUGUAAAAAAAGUUUUCAAACAUUUGAAUUCUCAUCAUAUAUGCCUCAAUACUCAUUUCAAGUUCCUUUUACCUUAUAUAUUUUUGAAGGACUUUCACAAAGGUUUUGUACCACUUUCAACAGCAUACAACCAACCACCAACGAGCUCUUGUUAUCAUCCACCAUUACUUACUCAAAU